rnacentral:rRNA from 1 species
GUGCCAGCAGCCGCGGUAAUACAGAGGUCCCAAGCGUUGUUCGGAUUCACUGGGCGUAAAGGGUGCGCAGGUGGGUUGGCAAGUUUGAUGUGAAAGCCCCGGGCUUAACCCGGGAAUGGCAUUGAAUACUGCUGAUCUGGAGGAUUGGAGGGGGGACUGGAAUUCUUGGUGUAGCAGUGAAAUGCGUAGAUAUCAAGAGGAACACCAGUGGCGAAGGCGAGUCCCUGGACAAUACCUGACACUGAGGCACGAAAGCCAAGGGAGCAAACAGGAUUAGAUACCCUGGUAGUCC